rnacentral:rRNA from 1 species
AUUGAACGCUGGCGGCAGGCCUAACACAUGCAAGUCGAACGAGUGGCGGACGGGUGAGUAAUGUCUGGGAAACUGCCUGAUGGAGGGGGAUAACUACUGGAAACGGUAGCUAAUACCGCCUACCAUCGGAUGUGCCCAGAUGGGAUUAGCUAGUAGGGGGGGUAAAGGCUCACCAAGGCGACGAUCCCUAGCUGGUCUGCGAGUAUGACCAGCGACACGGGAACUGAGACACGGGCCAGACUCCUACGGGAGGCAGCAGGGGGGAAUAUUGCACAAUGGGCGAAAGCCUGAUUCAGCCAUGCCGCGUGUAUGAAGAAGGCCUUCGGGUUGUAAAGUACUUUCAGCGGGGAGGCGUUACCCGCAGAAGAAGCACCGGCUAACUCCGUGCCAGCAGCCGCGGUAAUAC